GACGAACGCUGGCGGCGUGCUUAACACAUGCAAGUCGAGCGGUAAGGCCCUUUCGGGGUACACGAGCGGCGAACGGGUGAGUAACACGUGGGUGACCUGCCUCUAGCUCUGGGAUAAGCCCGGGAAACUGGGUCUAAUACUGGAUAUGACUCCAUGACGCAUGUUGUGGGGUGGAAAGCCUUGUGCGGCUAGAGAUGGGCCCGCGGCCUAUCAGCUUGUUGGUGGGGGAUGGCCUACCAAGGCGACGACGGGUAGCCGGCCUGAGAGGGCGACCGGCCACACUGGGACUGAGACACGGCCCAGACUCCUACGGGAGGCAGCAGUGGGGAAUCUUGCGCAAUGGGCGAAAGCCUGACGCAGCGACGCCGCGUGAGGGAUGACGGCCUGG
rnacentral:rRNA from 1 species